AUGAUGCAUUGUUAUGCCUGUGUGUGUGUGUUGUGUAUCUCAGAAUAGUUAUGUUCACUUCUUUUUUCCUGUUGUUUGAACUUAGUGAUGACAAUUGUUAACAUUUUUAUUAGUAAUGUUGUUAUAAUAAUGUGAGAAAUCAAUAAUGUAGUUAAUUGUUGGAUCAAAAUUCAAGAAUGUUGGGCCCGUGCUUAGCAUGGGCCAUCACCGAUCUAGCUUAUUUAGAAAUGAGACUUGGGUUGGACAAACACGGCAGCAGAUAGUAGUACCAAAUGUUACAAGAGAUGUACUAUCUACAAUUUAACUUUUUUUUAGCUUUUGCCUUCUCACACAGACAUGUGUAUUGCACUUAAAUUACAAUGUUUUGUUUCUUUUUGGACAUUUUGCCUACCUUUUCAACUUUUGUUUCCAAGUCUCUUUCUUCAGUCUCUUUCCUGCUUUCACUUACAUCUUCUGUCUUCUUUGUUUAUUAAUGCUCUCUGCAAAUUACAAACUACAAAAAUUUUGAGAUUCAGGCAAUUCUUUGCAGGCAAAACUCUUCGUGAUUUGGUUCAUCUGGUUGAAAGUUAUGUCUUUCACACGCUAAAGAUGCUUUCAAGUACUAUUAACAAGCUUUUGUUCUUGCUCUCAAGUUUCAAGGGUGUUUGACUGCUUGUGUUCUUGCUGCCGAUGUUUUCAACCAAUAGGUAUAUAUUUUUUGGAUUAAUUUUGUUUUCUUUUUUCUUCAUCGUUUUCCCCCUUUUCGGACAUUUUCUCAAUUCUUCCCACAUUUCUUAGUUUCACAAUUUAAUGGGAUAUGUGGGUUAAAUACAUGGGUAUCAUUGGAAGACGAAAGCGGCAAAGUAACAAAUGAUGGUAGUAAUUUAAUGUAUUUUGGCUUUCUUUUCUGAUGAGUACUCUGUUUGAAUUAGAUUUGGAGUUCUGUCUGCUGCAUCA